UACGUAGGGUCCGAGCGUUGUCCGGAAUUACUGGGCGUAAAGAGCUCGUAGGUGGUUUGUCGCGUUGUUCGUGAAAACUCACAGCUCAACUGUGGGCGUGCGGGCGAUACGGGCAGACUAGAGUACUGCAGGGGAGACUGGAAUUCCUGGUGUAGCGGUGGAAUGCGCAGAUAUCAGGAGGAACACCGGUGGCGAAGGCGGGUCUCUGGGGCCGAUACUGACGUGAGGAGCGAAAGCGUGGGGAGCGAACAGG
rnacentral:rRNA from 1 species